UGUGCCUACGGGGCGCAGCAGUGAGGAAUAUUGGUCAAUGGGCGGAAGCCUGAACCAGCCAAGUCGCGUGAGGGAAGAAGGCCCUGCGGGUCGCAGACCUCUUUGGACGGGGAGCAAGGCCGCCGACGUGUCGGCGGAAGGAGAGUACCCGUAGAACAAGCAUCGGCUAACUCCGUGCCAGCAGCCGCGGUAAUACGGAGGAUGCGAGCGUUAUCCGGAUUUAUUGGGUUUAAAGGGUGCGCAGGCGGGAGAUCAAGUCAGCGGUAAAAUGUCGGGGCUCAACCCCGGCCGGGCGUUGAAACUGG
rnacentral:rRNA from 1 species